UCCUCUGCACGUGGCAGAGCCUCUGGGAGUGAGGAGUGCGGCAGCCAGAUUGACAGAGGAGAUGGAAGAGUUGCCUACACAAAGAUUUCACGAAGGGAUUACAUGUGCCACCAUGCUUGGUUUGUAGCCAAGGAUCACCUUGAACAUUUGAUAUCCUCUGCUUUCUCCUACCAAGUACUGGGACCAUCGGUAUGUGGCACCAUGUCUGUCCAGCUUUAUGCAGCCCUCAGAUGGGACUUCACUGUGCUGCCUGACCUGGAACUUGCCAUGUACAACAGGAUGGCCCUGAACUCAUAGAGAUCCAUCUGCCUCUGCCUCCAGAGUGCCUCUCAAUGUAAAGAAAUGGAUGCAGCUGGG